UUUUCCAUCUCCCAACCAAACCAUCACUUAAGCCACAGUAAAACAACCAAAAAGUCAUAAACCAUCAAAGAAAAGUCAGCUUCUUCUCCCUUUAACGCCAUGGAUGCUGCUCCAUUUCACCACUGUAGCACAACAAAAAAUACAACAAAAGCUCUCACCUUUAAUCACUAUUUCUCUUAGAUGUUCAAUUUCUCCUUCCCAAAUAUUCCCCUCUCUAUUGCAGGCGCAACCACAACUUCACUCCAUUAAAAGUUACUGUUCGUUUUGCUUCCAUUACUGCUCUUCCCAAAUUUCGUUGAUGCUCUUUCAUUGGUUUGGUUCCUCUAUUUGGUCACAUAUUAAUCUUUCUGCCACCGCCCGUCAAAAAAUCCUUCACUAUUUUUUUCUUUCUUCUUUCUCAAAAUUAAAUCAUAAAUCGUCUCAGCCCACUUGAUUGAUAUACUUUACCAGCAAAAACCACUAUUAAAUCCAAAUCGUGGUGAAAUUUGAAGGUUUUAAAUGUUUUCUUUUUCAGAUUUGGGGAAGUGAGAUUGAAGAAAUGUUAGUGAUUAUGUGGUGGUAUAAUAGUGGGAUUUUUAACUUUUGAAUUUGCCUAAUAGUGGAUAGUGAUUAUGGUGGUAAUGGAAGCUGUGUCUUUAAUGUAUUUUUUCUGUCAUGGAGGGAAAUGAUGAGUAAG
rnacentral:lncRNA from 1 species